rnacentral:rRNA from 1 species
GCUUACGGCCACACCCUCUGGUUCACGCCCGAUCUUGUUUGAUCUCGGAAGCUAAGAUAGGUUGGGUCUGGUUAGUACUUGGAUGGGGAGACCGCCUAGGAAUACCAGGUGCUGUAAGCC